UCAGAAAAACAAACAAAAACCAGGGGUUGGGGGUUGGGGUGGGAGAGAAAAAUGAAAACAAAACAAAAAAAAAAAAACCAAAAAACCAAAACCCUCUGUAAACUCCAAGAUGUCUUUGUAAGCCUUGGAUCAGUUUUGUUGCUGUUGUUGGUUUGUUUUUUAAAUGAGACUUUAAAAAAAAAUUUAGAGUUGUAUCUUACAUUGGCUUGGCUAAGGCCUUGAACAACCUAUUUUGUUUUUUAAAAGUUGCAGUAGUGGCUAAAAACAUCCUUAAAUAUCCUUAAAAUGUUUAUACAUACAUACAAAACAUACCUAAAAGCACAGGAGUAAACAUCUCUGGGAUAAGGAGUUUGACAUCUCAGGGUGAAUUAAUGAUUAUGAUAGAAUCAUAUUGGAAGUUGGAGUAGUCAUUUUUUUUAAAUUAAUUUAUUCCCACAAGCAACAGGGACCACUUCAUAGAACCAGGAUCCAGACAAGGAUCAACUAGAAACAAUCGACCAGAAGUGUAUAAUUAGGUGUACCUUAUCUUUUCAAAAAAAGAUUUUAAAAUUUAAAUGUUAAAAAUGCAUGUUCAUCCACUAAAGAGAGAUCUGGGACCAUUAGCCACCUCUCCUUGUGUCCCCAAGGUGGUCACAUUGAUUCAAUGUCCCCUUUUGUCUCACUUUGUUACUUGAACUGGUAUACUAGACAGGCGGGGUGGCUAAGCUGGCUCGGUCUGCCGGGGCAGCUGGGGCUAGGACUUCUCUUUUCCCUUGAAAAUUUUAGUUUUACUAUGAGCUAAAGAAGAGUUGGGCCAAUGUAGCAGCUUCAGUUUACAUGAGCACUUACCUAAAAGCCAAUUUAGUACUGAGCUAAUUGGGUGUUAAAGAAAUAGGCACAUGUAAAUAGUGCACACAUAUGAACUUUUAAGAACCAAAAUUCUGAAUAUUUCUGUCUGUUGGGAUUCUCCCCUAGAAUCCUCCCCGUGAACAGGAAAUGACAUAAAGGCUGAGCGUAUGUGGAUCUCUGAGAGGGCGAGAGCUGUGCCACCUCUGGAUUCACCCUUUACCCAGCCCCUCAGAGUGACAGAUCUUCAUCCUGCCCCUAGCUUCUUGACAUAUAGGGAGGGGUACUAGUCCAGGGCCUAGGACUCAGUGGUUAUUUAAAAUAACAGUGCAGGCUGGUCCCUGAGGACUUCAGUGCCUUCCUCUGCGUGUGGCCUCUAUGCCUUGUGUCUCCCAGCAGUCACAGCUCCCAGAUGGCUUAUCUACUCUGUGAAGAUCAACUGGACAUUUGUUCUGUGCUGCUAAGGAGUCAGGCUAUAUGACUAAACCUUUAUAGAGACCAACCCCGCCUCCCUCCUAAGAGCUCAUCUUCCAAGAGAGGCAGAGUCAUUUGACAAUCUAAGAACUCCGUGACUGUGUUUUUCCAUGGCUCUCCUUGUAUAACAGCGUGGGAAAACAACACCCGUGUCAGAAGUGUGAGGCUGAAAAUUCACGGGGUGGCCCGGAGAGGUUUUGCAAGAAGGUGAGUCUGCAUGAACCCUUUUUAGGUGGGUCAACGCCUACAAGGCUGGGGAACAUCUACAGAGGUGGGGAGGAAACCUGACUGACAUUCAGGGGGACCUUGUGCUAAACGCUGACUUACAAAGACUCCAACAGGGAACAGACCCGUCCUAGACUAAAGUGUACUCUCCCUAGUAGAUGGAGACUUUAGGUUUCGGCUAGGUGCCAAGUCACAUGGGAAAAUAAGCAUCAGGUCUGGCCGGGUGUGGUGGCACCACAUUCCUUUAUAGUCCCAGCACUCAGGGACUGGUCUACAAGGGAGUUCUAAGACAGUCAGGGCCACACAGAGAAACCCUGUCUCAAAAAAUACAAGAAAAAAAAUUACCUGUCUCACCUUUGGAUCUGUGUAGCAGCAAGUACUAAGUCGGUUAUAUCUCUUACCCUGAAGGCCCUCUCAGCCCAAGGUCCUAUGUCCAGCUUCUUCCUGGGCAGGACAGGGACUCCUUGCUCCCAUCUCUGACCCUGGAGGCCACUGUACCAUGUGAAGGGAACAUAGAAGGCAUGGAGAAUACCUCAGUAAUCUCAGGAUGCUGGUCCUGGACAUAUCUCAGCCCUUGGUGGUUGUUCAACCAGCUUCCUAAGGGUGCAGGGCAGCAGGCCAGGGGAGGACAUAGAAAUUGGUGUCAGGAGGGACUCCAAGAAGCAUGCUAAGUGGGGGGGCUCAGGCUUGUGGGACAGAAGCAGAGGCCACAGCUAUGGCAGACUGUCUGGCCUCACCCACGUCUAAGGACUCUAUCCUUCUACCAGACCAGCCGAGAGUGCCAGAGCCCAUAGACCAGGCCUUUAAUCAUCUGGGCCAGACCAGCACUUGGUGGGUGGGAAUCUCUGUGGUCACUGGUGGAACUAUACAGGGCACUGUCGUUGAGACAAGAAAGCUGGGAGGGAGCAACCCUGUUUGCCUGUGGCCACAGUCCCAGACAGACAAAGUCCAAUACACAGUCUCCAUAUGGAAAUGUGGUUCUGCAGUGGGUGGGACUGAAGGAACUGGGAAGGCCAGCUCUGAAAGAGGGCCUUGCUAUCCCAAGCCCUCCUGUAAGCUGUGUGGCUCAGGGGUUCCAGUGGAAAGUGCUGUGGCUUAGGUUGAGGUCUUAUAAUGAUCUCAUAGGCCGUUUCACAGGAGUGAAGAGAAAGGCAGAGAGCCCUGUGGGUCCACUCUUGUCAAGACUGUGUCCUUCAUGGUUGGCUCAGACCAGUUGUAUAAGCCAGUUGACAUAUCUGCCACUCGGAAUAGAUCAUCCAAGUGCUGUGGAGGAGGAGCUGCAAGUGACCCUAAGUGAACCUUCUGAAACAAGGAUGGGAGGGGGUGCUAAAGGACAUCUCACUUCUGUCCCUUGCCACCCUAUCUCCAGGUUAGGGACAAGGGGACAAGGGGACAAGGGGACAAGAGCUCUCUUCAGCUCAUUUCCUGUUGUCCAAACAAAACGUCACUCCAUAUAGAAAUGUAGAGAGAACAGAGUUUUAUUCGGCUCAUGGUUCUGGAGGUGGGAAAGUUUGAGAGAAUGGGGGAGGGGGCAGGGCUAGCAUCUAAUGCUGGGUGUUGGUGUGCCUGAUUGUCUGAUGGCUUUGUGCUAUGUCAUAACGUGUGGAGGUAUCACGUGUGGAGGUACCACGUGCAGACUGAACAAGUGUACCCGAGGGAACUUGCCCUUAUAGCAAAGCCAUACUCAAGACAACUUACUAGUCCAUGAAAGGCUUAAUCUGUGCACAAGGGCCUUGGCAGAGGUCUCCUCUCUCGGUACUGCUGUACCGGGGAUCAAGUUUCCUGGACAUGAACAUUUGGGGUACACAUUCACACAAUAGCAAACCUCCAGUGGCCCCAAGACCUGGCUCUGCUCACUGGCAGGACCCCUCAGCCUGGGCAUUUGCCAGCAGCAGGGCACCCCAGCCUGAGUGCAGGGAGGAUUUGGGGCUUUUCUUAUGCCUGGGUGUCCAUGGAUUGUCUGAAUUUGGAACACCAGAGGGUUCCAAAACUGUUCUGUAAUAGAAUCCGAGGGAUCUGCCCCAAAGGUGGGCAUCCUGUUCAUAUCCCCUUGUCUAGUACCCACACUUGAGUACAAAGCAUGGGGACCCGCACAGCCAGACUUGUGGAACAAAUGAAUGAGGUCCUGCUAGGGACUUCCACGUGGGAGACACCCAGCAGCAAAAGGGGACCCUCAGAGAGGAGACUGUCGUUGAGUGCCAGAAUAGGGUCUCUCCGCCGUCUUUUUGGGCAAGAGUCACCGUGGGAUUAGAGCAUGCACACAUAUGGGCACAAGUGUCACGGCACAUGUGUGGACGUCAGAGGACAACUCGAAGCCAGUGUUCUCCUACUGUGUAGUUUCUAGCGACUAGAACUCAGGUCAUCGCAACUGAUGGCAGGCACCUUUACUCACUGAACCAUCCUGGCCACCCUGCAAAUGCUGGCUUUCUGAAAGGAGGCAGAGCUCUUGUAGGUACAGUGUCCCGAGGACGGGCUGAGAGCAGGUGGCUGUUGCCUGUCUGUGUGGUACAGGUAAGAGACACAACUGGAGACCAUUUAGUCACCUGAUCAUACCAGAACCUCACUGGGCGAUGCCGCUUGGGUCAAAUAAAAACAUUCUGCCCUGAAAGUCUGAGACACAUGGGCCCACACAGAAGGCAAGAGGGACAGAGGCAGGCGCAUUUGGAAACAGACUGGAUAAUGACGACACUGUCACUGUAGUGUAAGAGGCAUUGCAAGGCGGAGUUGUAACUUGGCCCUUAGUAGUUUGCUUAGCAGGCAUGAUGUUGUGGGAUCCAUCCUAGCACCCCCCUACCUAAAUGCUAGUCAACUGACAAGAGCAAAAUUUCUACCAGAGGAACUCCUAUAUACCUCAAGGCUGUUAGGCUACCUGGGUAGGAGGCAAAAGCACAACUUUUCUUGCUUUGGAAUUUGGUAAGUAGGAUUUUCAGGGACCUCUAAAACACCAGUAACAGACUCAAAAACCAGGAGAGGAAACACUGGAAUGAAAAAGUAGAGAGGUCUGGAGAUGUGGCUCCAUCGUCAGAGUGCUUGCCUGGCUAGCACAAAACCCCGAGUCUAAUCUGCCCCACCCCCUCCACUUUGCAGAAACUGGAUGUGGUUUUGCACGCCUACAGUCCUAACGCUCCAGUAGAUAAAGGGAUCAGAAGUUGAAGGUUAUCCUCUCUGUAUAGAGUUUGAGUCCAGUCUAAGAUACACAGGGCCUCCUGUCAAAGAAAGAGACUGAGGGCAGGUGAAUGUUGGGAAAUAGGUAAGAUCAGUGUUAGAUGUUGUGGCCAUCGGCCCCAGUGGCUCUAGUGACCCCUCUUGGCCCCCGAGCACAUGCGUGCUCUCCUUCCACACAGCUUCAGGAUAGACACAGGGGGAAAUGAAUAUGGUUGGUAUUGUGGCGUGGUAUCCCAACAGGCCACAGCACCCAAGCAUCUCUGUGCUUUCACGGCCUACGUCAGGAGGCGGAUCAAGUCAGCAUGUGUUGUUUGAGGCUACCCUGUCCUGAAGCUGUGUUUUCUUCAGCACUGGCUUUCCACAGAGCUCAGUUGGAUAUGAAAGGUAAAGGUUGAAUGCACAGGUUGAAAUAUGCUGCAAAUGUUGGAUUUAUUUCACACAGAGAAAUGUCUAAGGCAGCAGUUCUCAACCUGUGGGUCAAGAUUUCUACAGGGAAAUCACAGAGCAGAUAUUUUGCAUAUCAGGCAUUUCAAUUAUGGUUCACCACAGUGGCAAAAUUAGUCAGGAAGUAGCAACAAAGUCCUUUUAUGGUUGGGGGUCAUAUAACGUGAGGAACUGUGUUAAAAGGUCGGAGCAUUGGAAGGCUGAGAACACUGGUGUAAGCCAUGAGAUUAGAGAGACAGAAGAAAAAGUCUAGUCAAAGUAGGUUUAUGACUAGCAGAUAUAAGGUGGGAAUGAACAAGCUUGUUGGAAGAAACUAGCAUAUCCCCAGAGAAGCUGAUCAUGUUUAGCAAAUGACAGAGCAAGGUGACAGAAAGAACCACAUUUCUGAAAUGUCAUAGACAAAUCUGACCUUACAAUGCUCAGCCGUCGAGGACUUUCAUGUUAUUUGCUCUCAGUGGGAUAUUUACAAAAGUUAAUCAAUUCAGUACAAAGGUUAUAGAGUAAAGUCACACAGGCAAUUGGUUUCUGGUCACUAAUAAGUCAGCUUAAAGGAAGUGAAGCCCCAUACUGAUGCAUUUUUCAGGAGGAGAACAGAGUCCAAAGAUAGGGUCUUCGUUAGCUUGGUCAACUUGACACAGCCUAGAGUCAUUUGUGAGGACUGCCUAGAUCAGAUUGGACUGUGAGUAUGUCUGUAGGACAUCAUCUUCAUUAUUAAUUGGUGAAGGGGGGUGAGCCACCCACAGUGGGCAGUGCUAUUCCUUAUGCAAGUGGUUGGUCUACAUAAGAAAGCUAGUUAAGCAUGAGCUGAAGAGAGAAAGCAAGCAGUAUUCUUUCAUGGUUUCUGCUUCAAGUUCUUGUCCUGACUUUCUCCAGUGAUGGACUAUGGCCUGAAAGUGUAAGCCAAAUAAACCCUUCCCCCCUGAACUUGCUUUUGAUCGGUUUUUGUUUGUUUUGUUUUGUUUUGCUUUUUUGUCACAGCAAGAUCAAAGAAACCACUGUAAUGAAAGUUAGAAAUGGUUGGGUUAAUAGUACCCCAAACCACUGCGUUAUUUUUUUUUUCAGAUACAAUUAAAUUAGACAGGGUUAGGUAAGCUGAUCAAGAAGGGGUAUGGGAUGGAAAACAUAAUAAAUAUUAGGGAAGGAUAACGGACAGCCAUGGCAAGAUGAAUGCAGGACAAACUCAGACAUGCUCGUAGCUAAGACAAAAGCCAACUCCCAGCGGUAUGAAUAACUAAACAGCCCAUGUGCCCCACAGCCAAUACUAUGCUUGAAAGUUGUCAGAGUAAAAGUGGAGUUGUGUGAAACUACAAUAAGGAAGGAAGGAAGGAAGGAAGGAAAGGAAGGAAAGGAGAGAGCAAGCGAGCCAGGAUACUGUGAAGAAGGGGUCCUUGCACACGGCACCAUCUUAGGAGACUGCUGGUACCAUGGGCUGGGAGAGAGGGCCCUGGGAUUCUUCUCAGAAAACCUUACAGCUCUUUAGUUUCUCAACUGACACUACCCAUGACUGGUCCUGACACAACUUCUCACUUUUCUUUGGAACUCUUUGUCUCCUCUGACCUCCCUGGUGCAGUUCAUCACAGCAUGCGUUCUCUGCAACACUCCCUCCAGGCAGUAUCUAUGCAGAGACCUCCUCGUUAUUCGGGGAGGCUCACAGUGGCUAUCUGCCCACUCUUAGGAGCAAUGCACAAAGGUGAUACCACCGAGAAAGGAGGACAAGCUGCAGGUGACAUGGUGGUUAGAGAUCCAAAGACAUUUAGAAAGUAACCAGAACUAGGAAAUGGACUCACCCACCACUUGGGGACCCUGGUGCCAAUGUACUCAACCAACUGUACUUUCUAUGUUAAAGUCACAAACACCAGGAAGUGAAAUUCCAAAUAUCAUUUUUUAAAGCAUCAAAAUUUAUUUAUAAAAUGUAUUUAGAAAAGUAUCAAUAUAUGUCAAUAAGUAAAAACAAAUCAGGAUUUCAAAUGAAGCCUAUAAUGUGUAACAUUUUCUGGACUUUAAUGCUAAGUGCUGAUUAGGAACUACGCAGCUAUAGUUACUAAGUGUCCUGAGCAGGGACAAAUAACAUCAGGAAUGAUAAAUCCAUAGAGGCUUGGUGAUGUCUCACUUGUUUUUAUUUUCAUUUGUUACACAGCAUAUACAUACUGUUACAUUGUGAGCUGUACCAUUGUCUUAAAAGUUCCUUGGUAUUUUUGAUCAGUAACUCACUCUCAGCGGCUAAUACUAUAUACCUAAAACAAAGUAACGAAUACUUAAGUAAUGCCAAGAUAUAGCGCAACAGAGUAGACAUUUCCAUUGUGGGGUGUCAGUUCUCCCUAAAGGGAUCUACAGGUUUGAUACAGUAUCAAUAAAAUCUCUAAGGCCCUUUUGAAAUUGACAAGCUGAUCUUGGACUUUACAUGAGAAUUCAAAACUCACUGAAAAAGUUGAGAAACUUAUACAAGAUCUGUUUAUAGCUAAUAAAAAUGAAGGCGAUGUGGAAUUGGCAUAAAGUUAGUAAACAGACUGAGCAGCAGGACAGAUGAAAUUCAGGGCCCAUUCAAGAAGUUUGUUUGUUUUCAGUUUUGUUUCUCUUUUGAGACAGGGUUUACUUUGUAUCCCAGGCUGGCCUCAAAAUCUCAGCAACCCUCCUGCCCAGCCUCCCCCAAGUGCUGGGAUUACAGGCAUCCACUAUCACGCCCAGUUAAGACUGUACCUUGUGUGUGUGUGUGUGUGUGUGUGUGUGUGUGUGUGUGUGUGUGUGUGUGUAUACAGGUGUCUUUGUAGGCAAGAGGACAGAGGUUGAUGUUGGAUUUCUUUUUCUAUCUAUUGCACCGUUUUUAUUUUAUUUUGAGACCGGUUUGGUUUUUUUUUUUUUCCUCCAUUUCUGCCAGAGUGUCUGGCCAGUGAGCUCUGGGGAGCCUUCUGUCUUUGCUGCCCUUGUUACUGAGGUUACAGGCAUGGUGUGCCAUGGGACCUGGCCCUUAUCUAGUGCUGGACAUCUGAGCUCAUAACCUUAUGCUCAUACAACAAGCACUUUAUGCACUGAACCAUCUCCCUACCAGCCCCCAACCCCUUUUUCAUGACAGGGCCUAGGCGACUCUGAAACACCUUUACUUCCCAAGUGCUAGGAUUACAGGUAUGCAUCGCCACUUCUGCAGAGACUACUCUCGACACAGAUGCCGCAGGCCUCUGAAGGGAGGCUCCUUUUUUUUUUCUUUUUUUCUUUUUUCUUUUUUUUUUUUUGGAGCUGGGGACCGAACCCAGGGCCUUGCGCUCGCUAGGCAAGCGCCCUACCACUGAGCUAAAUCCCCAACCCCGGAUUUUUUUUAUAGUAGUGCUGAAGCAUCUGGAUACCAGAGAACAAAUGAGUCCAAACCCUGAACUGUACACAGACCCAUUCCCAGUGAGUCAACAAGCUACAGUGUGCAAGCCAACGCCAAAGGCUUCGAGAAAGAGGCACAGGAGAGUUCUCCUGUUUUUAGAAGGGACACCAAAGUACUAGCCACACCAGGAGAAACUUGCAGACAAAUGGAUAAUACAUUCCUUCAUCACAAAGAUGAUGUAUAGUACAUACGAUGUAUAUGGUAGGAAAGCUUCUACCACAGGUCAGAUUUCCAAUACAGGAAGGAAGGAAGGAAGGAAGAAAGGAAGAAAAGAAGAAAGGAAGGAAGGAAGAGACAUUACUAAGCAGAGGUUCCAGGCAAACCAUUGGGAGGACAGUUGCCAGCUCAUUUAUCUGCCAAGUGAACACACAGAAUGUAUAAAAAAACACUAUAGAGCCAAAAGGCAAAAGGCAAACAACGCAACUUAAAGAUGGAGAAAAGACUUAAGUGAAAGCUACACUGAGCGGGGCUACUCAUCUGGGGUGACAGGUACUUUGACUGACAACUUACCAGGUGAGAGCCCUCAGUGGUGAAGCACACCUCUGUUGUGUUUGGGAUGACAUCGCCAGAGACAGAGCAUGAGCACUCAGACCUAUCAAAGGAUUCAAUCCAUUCCCGGAGUCAAACCCAGUUCUUUUUGGGCUGGCUGCAAAGCCCAGUGCUAGGACUAGAGGCGUGUGCCGUCCCGCUCUUGGUUUAUGCACCCAAGGGAUCCUGUAUAAGUGAGGCGAUCACUCUACCAGCCCAGAGUUAAAGGUAAGUAGAUUAUAUUGAGAAAUGGAGCUAUGGAAGGUGGGGCUUGGCUGGAGGAAGUAGGUCAAUGGAAGCUCGUCUUCAAGGGCUUUGCUUGCCCUGCUCUUCCUGUAAGGGAUCUAUUUUGUUUUCUGUGUUAGCGAAGUUAGCGUUUCUGCUCCGUACAUAGUCUCUGCCGGGAUGGACUGAUGGUCUUAGGCCUGAGCUAAACUCGGGAACUCUUUCCUUUGAGCUGUUUACAUCAGGAGUUUGGUAGGGGGAUGCAAAUGCUCUAACACGUCAGGAAGCAUGAAGUACAACCACAAUGAAAAAUAUCAGUACGAAUCAAUCAGAAGACAAAACCCAUCACACCCCUCAAGGCUAAGAGUUGCAGGUGUAAAAGGUUGCAGCCACUUUGUGCAAACUGUGGGUUUCUACAAAAGUAAAAUAUAAGCCUUACUUGUGAGCCUGAAUACUUGAAUAAGAAGCGAAUGCAUAGGUCACAUGAAGAGUCCUAGAGGGAUGGUAAGACCAGCAUAGCUUCCACCAAUAGCAGGCUAGAGAAACUGUAGACCUAGUCACUGAAACAAGAUCUGCUCAGCUGUGAAGAUGAGCCCGUGACCUGGACAGGAGAUAUCCCAGCGUGCAUCAGCGUGAGGCUAGACAGCCAUGCUUGGCUAUGUGACUUCUCCCUUUAAAGGUGAGAGACAAUCAAAAGCCAUCUAUGGUGACUUAAGCUAAAUGGCAGCCAUCUCCCAGACAUGAGGAACAAGAAAAAGUGUUCCUUAUGCUGAUCCUGGCCAUGAUGUGCGAGAACCCAUCAAUUUCUGUAGAGAUCCGUUUUUGCCAUGAGCUUUCAUAGUCAUGAUGAAAAGAAAGCCAUCUCCUAGGCAUCAGAGAGCACCAGCUGCCUCAGAAAAGAUCUUAUGAAAGGCAUGCUAGGCCUCUGCUUCAGAACAAUGAAUCAUCUCAAGGUGAUCCGUAGGCUCAAGACUCUGGUAGUCAAAACCCCAGCAAAGUAUUGUUUCAACUCCACAAGCCGACUGUGAAAAGCCUCUGGAAACAUGAAGGAUCAGGAGUAGCUGCUUAUGUGAUUUGGUUCCUCACCCAACAGCUGGAAAGGCCAGGCAACUCACUGUCUCCCAGGGCACCUUGUGAGGGUCUAAAUCUACUGGCUUGGUUGGUUCUCAAGGGGCAAACGUGCCUGGUUGGUACCAGUCAAAGGAAGAGGGAUCAUGUAGGGUGCUGAACCCCAUCACUCACAUGAAAAAAAUGAUUCCUAGAUGUGUGCUAGCUUUGAAAUGACAGGUGGUGAGGAACCCCAAAGCUAGAGAGAGGGGACCUUGGUGAGGUGUGCAGUGCCCCCGUGCUGACUACAAGGGUUUGAGGCAGGAUUGCUGUGGAUUCGGCUGACAUAUUUGAAGAAGGGGUUAAGAAAACUGGCCCCAUCCAUAGGAGAGUGGGGCAGCCCAGCUCUCUGUCUGGUGCCUGGUGAAGACAAGCACCGAGGACUGGUAGGCAGUGACAGUCUCACAGGAGCUGGGCAUGGAGCUCUGGAGCGCAGGUGCCUUUGCGGAGAGCUUCAUGGCUGGGAAACAGCAUGUGUCCGAAGGCCUUUGCUGUCUUGGCUGGACCAUUAGCUUCAGUGGGCACAAGGCUCCAGAUGAGCAGAGUUUAUCCAGUCCUUGGCUCAAGGGGACAUCUGGGGAGACGACAGGGUCCAGUGGCUAAGCAGUGAAGCCACGAUGAUAUCUGUGACUGUGCUCCUUUAAUGCUGGGAGGGGCCCAGGGACCAUCACGAGUCUGAACUCCAUCUGAGACUUCAGAAGAAAGAGGCAAACAUUGUGGGACACAGCACCACAAGAGGCAAAUGGCCACAGGCUUCAGCAACAAAAAUGCUAGGCUAGAAAAAUGAAAGCACACGGAGGGGAUGUGCCUCAGUUCAGGAAUAGACAUGAUGUGUGUGCUGGGGAGAGUGUAGGCAGGGUGUAUGAUGUAUGUUCAUGCAGAUAACCUGUACAGGCAAGGAGAGACCAUUUUGGGGUCGUCUGAACUCCUAGAUGAAAAAACUCCUCUAGGAACCCCAAAUGUCUGACUGCUUUUCUCUUGGCUAUUUCCCAGCGUCCUCUUGGCCUUAGGCAAUUUUGAAGCAGGAGGCAAUAUUUUCCUUUGGGAUAAAAUGCAGGCUGUUUAUUGCUACUGAAAGCGAGUCCCCUGCCUCCAGAGCUGACACAGACCUACUGUACCAUGCUAUACCUGCUGAGUGAGUCACAAACAUCCUUCCUCUGUAACCCAGGGAAUAUGUCUUCUGCUGCUAUCUGCUAGGUGAGAAAUAUGGAUAGAGAAAUGGCAGUCCUGCUGUUGUGGGAGUGAAGGACCAGGGAAUUCUCACCACUGGCCCCUUAGUGAGAGAAGUUCCCCAGUGCUCUAGUCAGCAGAAGUGAGCUUGUGUUCAGAUCUGUGCAGCAGCAAGUAUGACGAACACAGACCUUGGCCAGGCUGGGUCUGUGGCUCAAUCCUUUUCUGCAAUUCAUGGCAUUAAUCAGCUGCUAUAUUAUAGAGGUGGGAUUUGAACCUGUAAGGUUUCUCACGGGAGUCCAACCUCUUAACCACUAUACCAUAGUGCCUUUUUCACCCCUCAAUCCUUUUCUGAGGGAUGACGUCACUACACUCUGACUGAAAGGCAAUGGCUAUGACUGGGUCUGGGCCUGGGCCAAGCAGGCCAGAGGCUGAGACAAAUGAUUACAGGAGCCAAGACUUGCUGAUUGGCUUGGAGCUUUGCGUGGAUGAAAACUGUAUGGGUAUUCGUUGGAGCUGGGAGCAAUGGAUUCAGAAUUUCCUAAGUAUAUGCCAUAGUCCACUGGGGCAGUGAGAGCCCCAGAACUUAGAAUUGCAAAACAGAGCUGGGUGACUCAUGCUGGCCCAGAACUGAGGGGCCUGGCUUUUGCCGCAACUUCCCUAUGGGGGUGCAGGCAGGAGUUCCUCACUGGGAGUCUCUCAUCCCAGGUGUCAGCCUCACAUUUAGGGUUGCUACUUUCUGAGAGGGAACUCUGGGACCCGAAGACCGCCCCUCAGCUUGUUUCCCUGUCAUUGGGCUCAGUAGGAGAAACUAUUCAGGGUUAGUCUUCGAGGCUUAGGUGCUGGGUCCCCCGGGAAUUCCUUUUACAUACUAAGGCAGCCACCAAAUAAGCCACCCUUGUUGGAGGUUCGAUUUCCAGCCUCAUCUACAACGAGGUUGCUACAAUGUCUUCACUCUGGGGUCAAUUCUGACAGUGGCCAGUAGGAGGCGCUGCCAACAGGAGUGCAUAGUCAAGAACACGUAGGGCUGGCUCUAGAGCUAUUUGGGUAGUUACCCAUUUGAGAGACUAUGCCCACGUCCUGCCUGUCCCAGAGCACAGGUUCAAAGUGCCUUUGCCUGGCCGCCUCCUAGAUGGGCUGCUCCACUUGGGUCUGACAGGUUAGUUGAGUGUCCUCACCUCAGAUCUGGCCACUGGCAGUGACUGUGCUAUGGUUCCAGUAGCUCUGGCAGGCUCCACAUGUUCACAUGACCCUUGUUACAUCUUUACCAACCUAAAGACUGCUAUGUGGAGGGGCUACGGCUGGUCAUGUCGUAACCCAGGCAGAAGCUCACGGGGAAACAGGCUCUCUGCUGGGUCCAAUUGGCACUAACCAGGCUUUCGGGAGGCCUGCCAACCCAAGGGUCACCACCCUAUCAGACCACUGGCCCAGACAGGAUUGUCACCUCUCAGCACGGCCUGGAACUCAGUAGGGGCCUCAGUUUAAAAAGACACAGUAGCCCAUGGAUGUAAGUCUCCUGCUGAAUUCCUUGCACAGAGGGCGGCCAGUACGCCCUGACAUUACCUCAAUCUCUGUGGUAUGCUGAGGACACGGAGGUCGGGCAUCUCUCAGGGUGACUGAGGGACGCUCCACUGUGGGUGCACUCUGAUCAGGAGACACCCUGGCUGCAGAACUGUAGUUUCUGUCUGGACCUCUGUGCUAAAACUGACCUGAGUCGCAUCCAGCCUUGCUCACCAUAGCAAGCAUCGAAUAAAGGCAGUUAUUUUAGGCUUUUGGGAGGCCACACGUGGACUCCUCCGUUACACAUUUUGUUUUGUUUUGUUUCCAACCCUUUGAAAACAUAAAAAACAUUCUUAGUCGACAGAGCACACAAAAACAGCCCUUGGGCAUAGUUCGAUUGUCUGAACUGGUCAGUAGUUGAUGUCUUCAAGGGCACUCAAGGCUCCCAGCCACCCUUGGGGUUCCCAGCAUUUGUUUGGUGCUGGGAUAGUUUCCUCAGGGGCUGGUGCCACCUCACCCACCUUCUCCAGGUGAGCUCUCAACAGGGAGUCUCAGUGAACUACCCUCGGCACCCCGGUGCUCUGACUGACUGACAUCGUCCUGCAGUGUGAAGCCAGCUCCACACACUCAGUCCCUCACACGGAAGCUGCCAGUGGGUGGCUGAAGAGGAGGCUGGUUUUGUAGCUGUGACUGCAGUGACCGCCAGAGCCUUAGAGACAUGGAGGGGAUUGGUUCCGCUCCUUUUCCUGCAGAGGCAGUGCCAGAGUGGAAAAAUGGUGGAGGUGGUAAUGUCCUCGGGUGGGUUCCAGGAGGAAGAGUCAGAUAAGAGUAGCCUGCACCUGAAGCCCAGCUCAGUCUUCCCCGAGAGGACCAGAAGAGGUCCAGCUGGACUGUGAGAAACCAUGUUUGGAAGCCACUGUCUUGGCGUGGGUCUUUGUGGAGAAUUAUCACCUAAGAAACCUGGCUAAUAAAAUAGAUGGGAAAGCAGACUUCCAUUACAGAGCCAUAACCCUACACUCAAAGCUAUCAGCAUUAUUGCAGCAUGGAACACUGACACAUAUAUGCUUGGCACACAUGGCAGCUAUGUCCCCGAGUUAGCGGAAUAUCUCACUAGAAAAGGUAAUGGGUUCGGUCCCCAGCUCCAAAAAACAGAACCAAAAAAAAAGAAAAGAAAAGAAAAGGUAAUGGGUGUUUAUUCUAUACACAGACACUCGAAGAUGGGUGGAGAACAGGAGCCAA